rnacentral:rRNA from 1 species
AUUGAACGCUGGCGGAAUGCUUUACACAUGCAAGUCGAACGGCAGCACGGGGCAACCUGGUGGCGAGUGGCGAACGGGUGAGUAAUAUAUCGGAACGUGCCCAAUCGUGGGGGAUAACGUAGCGAAAGUUACGCUAAUACCGCAUACGAUCUACGGAUGAAAGCGGGGGAUCGCAAGACCUCGCGCGAAUGGAGCGGCCGAUAUCAGAUUAGGUAGUUGGUGGGGUAAAGGCUCACCAAGCCAACGAUCUGUAGCUGGUCUGAGAGGACGACCAGCCACACUGGAACUGAGACACGGUCCAGACUCCUACGGGAGGCAGCAGUGGGGAAUUUUGGACAAUGGGCGCAAGCCUGAUCCAGCCAUUCCGCGUGCAGGAUGAAGGCCCUCGGGUUGUAAACUGCUUUUGUACGGAACGAAACGGUCUGCCCUAAUACGGCAGGCUAAUGACGGUACCGUAAGAAUAAGCACCGGCUAACUACGUGCCAGCAGCCGCGGUAA